rnacentral:rRNA from 1 species
GAGCUACCGCUAUUGGAGUUCGAUUAAGCCAUGCGAGUCGAGAGUCUUAGGGACUCGGCGUACCGCUCAGUAACACGUGGGUAACCUGCCCUAUGCUGGGGAAUAACCUCGGGAAACUGAGAAUAAUGCCCCAUAGUCCACCAUGCCUGGAACGGUUGGUGGAUGAAAGCUCCGGCGGCAUAGGAUGGGCCCGCGGCGUAUCAGGUCGUAGGGGGUGUAACGUACCCUCUAGCCAUCGACGCGUACGGGUGUUGGGAGACAUAGCCCGGAGAUGGAUUCUGAGACACGAAUCCAGACCCUACGGGGUGCAGCAGGCGCGAAAACUUGGCAAUGCGAGAAAUCGUGACCAGGGAACUCCAAGUGGCUGGGGUAAGACCCAGUCUUUUCUUGACUCUUCAAAGGUCUUGGAAUAAGGGGUGGGUAAGGACGGUGCCAGCCGCCGCGGUAAUACCGGCGCCUCAAGUGGUAGUCGAUUUUAUUGGGCCUAAACGUCCGUCGCCUGUUUGGUACAUUCGUGGGUAAAUCAACCAGCUCAACUGGUUGAAUUCUGCGAGCACGGCCAGACUUGGGACCGGGAGAGGUGUGGGGUACGCUCAGGGUAGGGGUAAAAUCCUGUCAUCCUGAGCGGACCACCUGUUGCGAAGGCUCCACACUAGAACGGAUCCGACGGUCAGGGACGAAGCCUAGGGGCACGAACCGGAUUAGAUACCCGGGUAGUCCUAGGUGUAAACGCUGUGGACUUGGUGUUGGGAAGGUUCCGAGCCUUCUCAGUGCC